rnacentral:rRNA from 1 species
CCUACGGGAGGCAGCAGUGGGGGAUAUUGCACAAUGGGGGAAACCCUGAUGCAGCAACGCCGCGUGAAGGAAGAAGUCUUUCGGGUUGUAAACCUCUUUUGACAGGGAAGAGCAGAUGACGGUACCUGUCGAAUAAGCCACGGCUAACUACGUGCCAGCAGCCGCGGUAAUACGUAGGUGGCAAGCGUUGUCCGGAUUUACUGGGUGUAAAGGGCGUGUAGCCGGGCCGACAAGUCAGAUGUGAAAUCCGGGGGCUCAACCCCCGGACUGCAUUGGAAACUGUUGGUCUUGAGUAUCGGAGAGGCAGGCGGAAUUCCUAGUGUAGCGGUGAAAUGCGUAGAUAUUAGGAGGAACACCAGUGGCGAAGGCGGCCUGCUGGAUGACGACUGACGGUGAGGCGCGAAAGCGUGGGGAGCAAACAGGAUUAGAUACCCUAGUAGUC